GACGAACGCUGGCGGCGUGCUUAACACAUGCAAGUCGAACGGUAAGGCCCUUCGGGGUACACGAGUGGCGAACGGGUGAGUAACACGUGGGUGAUCUGCCCUGCACUUCGGGAUAAGCCUGGGAAACUGGGUCUAAUACCGGAUAGGACCACUGCCUGCAUGGGUGGUGGUGGAAAGCUUUUGCGGUGUGGGAGGGGCCCGCGGCCUAUCAGCUUGUUGGUGGGGUGAAGGCCUACCAAGGCGACGACGGGUAGCCGGCCUGAGAGGGUGACCGGCCACACUGGGACUGAGAUACGGCCCAGACUCCUACGGGAGGCAGCAGUGGGAAAUAUUGCACAAUGGGCGCAAGCCUGAUGCAGCGACGCCGCGUGAGGGAUGACGGCCUUCGGGUUGUAAACCUCUUUCAGCACCGACGAAGCGCAAGUGACGGUAGGUGCAGAAGAAGGACCGGCCAACUACGUGCCAGCCGCCGCGGUAA
rnacentral:rRNA from 1 species